AUUGAACGCUGGCGGCAUGCCUUACACAUGCAAGUCGAACGGCAGCACGGGUGCUUGCCCCUGGUGGCGAGUGGCGAACGGGUGUGUAAUACAUCGGAACAUGUCCCGUAGUGGGGGAUAGUCCGGUGAAAGCCGGAUUAAUACCGCAUACGAUUGACGGAUGAAAGGGGGGGACCUUCGGGCCUCCGGCUGUCGGGUUGGCUGAUGGCGGAUUAGCUAGUUGUUGGGGUAAAGGCCUACUACGGCGACGACCAGUAGCUGGUCUGAGAGUACGACCAGCCACACUGGAACUGAGACACGGCCCAGACUCCUACGGGAGGCAGCAGUCGGGAAUUUUGGACAAUGGGCGAAAGCCUGAUCCAGCAAUGCCGCGUGUGUGAAGAAGGCCUUCGGGUUGUAAAGCACUUUUGUCCGGGAAGAAAUCCUUGGCCCUAAUACGGUCGGGGGAUGACGGUACCGGAAGAAUAAGCACCGGCUAACUACGUG
rnacentral:rRNA from 1 species